rnacentral:lncRNA from 10 species
GCGCAGAACGCGGCGGUCAGCUGCGCCCGGCCUGAAGUUGUCCCAACCGCGGCCGCGUCGGUCGCCCUUUUGACUUGCAGCAGGGCGGGCAGAGCGACUUAGAGGAAAAGUGACUUUUUGUACCCUCCUGCAGGGAGCAGGUUCUCUGUCCUUGUUUAAUUAGACAUUUCUCAGGUGGGCACUUUGAAUUCCUUCCAGUCAAGACUCAGGUGUUCAACUUGUUUUGUCGGCCGUCUUCCUCCACCCUUCUUCUCCCAUUCAAAACAAAAAGAAUCCUGCCUCUGCUCUGAAGCCUUUCUGUUCGCUCCAGUGAAAAUUAGUCAUCCACCGGGCGCGGUGGCUCACGCCUGCAAUCCCAGCACUUUGGGAGGCCGAGGUCUGGGCUUGAUGUUCACCGAUUUUCCCUCAGCUCCGACUGUGGCUCCUCUCAGCUGACUCUGACCCUGCUCUCAGCCGGGCUGCAUCUGCCCAUCUCAGCACAUCAAUAAACAGCAGAGGGAAACUACCACCUUGGAAGGAGCCAGGCAGUUUCUGCUGGGUAGGCCGCAGCCUGGAACAUGGAAGUAGCUUCUUCCAUCCUACACUGGAAACCACCCAGCAUCCCGGGCCCUCCAGAGAAGAGCCAGACUCCCUUCCCUGGGAAGAGACUAUAGUCCUAUCUGUAUCCUCCGUGGUCAUUGCCCCUCAGUCACAGCAAUGAAGAGCAAAUUACCUGUUUUCUGUAUGUUCCUCUGACAACAACUGCCACAGAGUAAAUAUGAAAGGUUCUGGAUGAUUCCUUGUCAGCUUUUAUUAAAAUUCCACAUACUUGGCA